rnacentral:rRNA from 1 species
UACGGGGGGAGCAAGCGUUGUUCGGAUUUACUGGGCGUAAAGGGCGCGUAGGCGGCCACCUCAGGUCGAUUGUGAAAUCUCCGGGCUUACCCCGGAAAGGUCAACCGAUACUGCGGGGCUAGAGUGCAGAAGGGGCAACUGGAAUUCUCGGUGUAGCGGUGAAAUGCGUAGAUAUCGAGAGGAACACCUGCGGCGAAGGCGGGUUGCUGGGCUGACACUGACGCUGAUGCGCGAAAGCGAGGGGAGCGAACGGG